rnacentral:tRNA from 1 species
UACUAUUAGUUUAACUAAAACGUAAAGUUGCAAACUUUAAAAUAUAUAUAUAUGUGUAGUAU